rnacentral:lncRNA from 1 species
CCGAGGCCACACCAGUCAGCACAGAGAACGUCCCCUCGAAAGAGAAGUGGACGCCGAAGUCACAUCUUAUGUGCAAGGGAACCAGCCAUCAGAAUCACACUUGGGGGACAAUUAUCCUAAAAAAUAUGAGGAACAGAGGUCGGUAAGCGUCUUCGACCGGAUUAAGGAGGAUCCUAGCAAUAGGGUCUGCCCAAUGAGAAGAUC